rnacentral:rRNA from 1 species
UACGUAGGGUGCGAGCGUUGUCCGGAAUUAUUGGGCGUAAAGAGCUCGUAGGCGGUUUGUUGCGUCGGCUGUGAAAUCCCGAGGCUCAACCUCGGGUCUGCAGUCGAUACGAGCAAACUAGAGUGUUGCAGGGGAGACUGGAAUUCCUGGUGUAGCGGUGAAAUGCGCAGAUAUCAGGAGGAACACCGGUGGCGAAGGCAGGUCUCUGGGCAUUAACUGACGCUGAGGAGCGAAAGCAUGGGGAGCGAACAGG